rnacentral:rRNA from 1 species
UACACUCCUGCGGGAGGCAGCAGUGGGGAAUAUUGCACAAUGGGCGCAAGCCUGAUGCAGCCAUGCCGCGUGUAUGAAGAAGGCCUUCGGGUUGUAAAGUACUUUCAGCGGGGAGGAAGGCGAUAAGGUUAAUAACCUUGUCGAUUGACGUUACCCGCAGAAGAAGCACCGGCUAACUCCGUGCCAGCAGCCGCGGUAAUACGGAGGGUGCAAGCGUUAAUCGGAAUUACUGGGCGUAAAGCGCACGCAGGCGGUCUGUCAAGUCGGAUGUGAAAUCCCCGGGCUCAACCUGGGAACUGCAUUCGAAACUGGCAGGCUAGAGUCUUGUAGAGGGGGGUAGAAUUCCAGGUGUAGCGGUGAAAUGCGUAGAGAUCUGGAGGAAUACCGGUGGCGAAGGCGGCCCCCUGGACAAAGACUGACGCUCAGGUGCGAAAGCGUGGGGAGCAAACAGGAUUAGAAACCCGUGUAGUCCC